rnacentral:rRNA from 1 species
AUGCUGGAUCCACCACAUCAUCAAGGCAACUUGAACGUUAUGGAGUACAGUGAACGUUGGGCGUCUCACCAUAAUGCUCCAGUGCCCAACCUUUUCGUCUCGUAUGCUUUGGCCCAUAAGGCACCGUACAGAACAGCCACGCCUUACGAUGAGAAUGACACAGCGUCCGCGUACUCCAGCAAGACCGCCUACGAUCGGAUGGAGAAAUUUAAAGGGGUGGCAAAAGAGUUGAAAGGGCCCGAGUAUGAUGUGACAACAGAGCCUCUUGACCACGCUUUGGUCAUGAUCUCUGGAGAAGGCAGGAAACAUGGCAAGGAAGCAAUUGCAGGAGGCAUGUUCCCUAGCUCCUCCCGUAGCUCUCUCCCUGAAUACAAAGCUCGGUUACGUAUCUCAAAAUCGUCUACAUAUAAACGCUCGACUCCAGCUAUGGUUGAGAUGGAGGCCUGA